rnacentral:rRNA from 1 species
UGAAUAACUUUGUGCUGAUCGCACGGUCUCGUACCGGCGACGCAUCUUUCAAAUGUCUGCCUUAUCAACUGUCGAUGGUAGUUUCUGCGACUACCAUGGUUGUUACGGGUAACGGGGAAUCAGGGUUCGAUUCCGGAGAGGGAGCCUGAGAAACGGCUACCACAUCCAAGGAAGGCAGCAGGCGCGCAAAUUACCCACUCCCGGCACGGGGAGGUAGUGACGAAAAAUAACGAUACGGGACUCAUCCGAGGCCCCGUAAUCGGAAUGAGUACACUUUAAAUCCUUUAACGAGGACCCAUUGGAGGGAAAGUCUGGUGCCAGCAGCCGCGGUAACACCAGCUCCAAUAGCGUAUAUUAAAGUUGUUGCGGUUAAAAAGCUCGUAGUUGAAUCUGUGUCCCACACUGUCGGUUCACCGCUCGCGGUGUUCAACUGGCAUGUCUGUGGGACGUCCUACCGGUGGGCGCAGCCCGUCAAAAGGCGGCCCAACUCAAAAUCCUACCACGGUGCUCUUCACCGAGUGUCGAGGUGGGCCGGUACGUUUACUUUGAACAAAUUAGAGUGCUUAACGCAGGCUCAUUCGCCUGAAUAUUGUGUGCAUGGAAUAAUGGAAUAGGACCUCGGUUCUAUUUUGUUGGUUUUCGGAACUCCGAGGUAAUGAUUAAUAGGGACAACUGGGGGCAUUCGUAUUGUGACGUUAGAGGUGAAAUUCUUGGAUCGUCGCAAGACGGACAGAAGCGAAAG